UCCCAGGUAGCUCAGUUGGUAGAGCGAGCGGCUGUUAACCGCUUUGUCGGGGGUUCGAGUCCCUCCCUGGGAGCCA
rnacentral:tRNA from 1 species